rnacentral:rRNA from 1 species
UCCUGCUCAGAAGCUAAGCAGCAUUGGGCCUGGCUGGUACUUGGAUGGGAGACCGCUUGGGACGGUGCUGAGGAGCAGGAG